rnacentral:rRNA from 1 species
CUAUACAUGCAGUCGAACGCAAUCUUUGACUAAUGAGUGCUUGCACUCAGCAGUUAAAGUGCGAGUGGCGAACGGGUGAGUAACACGUGGGCAAUCUGCCCAAAAGUGGGGGAUAACACUUGGAAACAGGUGCUAAUACCGCAUCAACCGGCUGACCGCAUGGUCGGCCGGGCAAAGACGGCGUCAGCUGUCGCUUCUGGAUGAGCCCGCGGCGUAUUAACUAGUUGGUAAGGUAACGGCUUACCAAGGUGAUGAUACGUAGCCGAACUGAGAGGUUGAUCGGCCACAUUGGGACUGAGACACGGCCCAAACUCCUACGGGAGGCAGCAGUAGGGAAUCUUCCACAAUGGACGCAAGUCUGAUGGAGCAACGCCGCGUGUAUGAAGAAGGUCUUCGGAUCGUAAAAUACUGUUGUCAGAGAAGAACACGUGAUAGAGUAACUGCUAUGGCGCUGACGGUAUCUGACCAGCAAGUCACGGCUAACUACGUGCCAGCAGCCGCGGUAAUACGUAGGUGGCAAGCGUUGUCCGGAUUUAUUGGGCGUAAAGGGAACGCAGGUGGUCUUUUAAGUCUGAUGUGAAAGCCUUCGGCUUAACCGGAGAAGUGCAUUGGAAACUGGAAGACUUGAGUGCAGAAGAGGAGAGUGGAACUCCAUGUGUAGCGGUGAAAUGCGUAGAUAUAUGGAAGAACACCAGUGGCGAAAGCGGCUCUCUGGUCUGUAACUGACGCUGAGGUUC